rnacentral:sRNA from 1 species
UUUUUUUUAUGUUUUUUUUUUUGGAGGACACUCUGGCUCCUCUAAUAUUCAAAAUAGAAAA